AUGGCAUCCCCAUCAGGCACAAAAUUUGGGCAACGUGUUUGGGUUCUCAUCCAGGUUGAUGCUUCUAUUAAAGACUCAGUUAGUGAUGGAGUUGGAGGUUUGAACUUGAAUUUGCCCCCUGACUGCGGUAGCUCCAAAUGCCCUCAAAUUAUAGAUGUGAAUCUGCAGCCUGUGAUGGAUAGUGGUUUGUUGGGUCCUUGCAAUUCUUCCUCACUUUCGGUGCCCAUGGUUGAUGUUGAGCAGCCUGAGAAGGACCAGGAGCUGAACUUUCCUACAAAUGAUACACUGUUGGUUGGUGAGGGUGUUUGGACUCCUACUCCUAAUCAGGCAUCCUCUUCUGUGUCAUAUCCUAUUAUAGAC
rnacentral:misc_RNA from 1 species